ACAGGGAUUGCCUUAGUAGCGGCGAGUGAAGCGGCAAAAGCUCAAAUUUGAAAUCUGGCACUUUCAGUGUCCGAGUUGUAAUUUGAAGAAGGUAUCUUUGGGUCUGGCUCUUGUCUAUGUUUCUUGGAACAGAACGUCACAGAGGGUGAGAAUCCCGUGCGAUGAGAUGUCCCAGACCUAUGUAAAGUUCCUUCGAAGAGUCGAGUUGUUUGGGAAUGCAGCUCUAAGUGGGUGGUAAAUUCCAUCUAAAGCUAAAUAUUGGCGAGAGACCGAUAGCGAACAAGUACAGUGAUGGAAAGAUGAAAAGAACUUUGAAAAGAGAGUGAAAAAGUACGUGAAAUUGUUGAAAGGGAAGGGCUUGAGAUCAGACUUGGUAUUUUGUAUGUUACUCUCUCGGGGGUGGCCUCUACAGUUUACCGGGCCAGCAUCAGUUUGAGCGGUAGGAUAAGUGCAAAGAAAUGUGGCACUGCUUCGGUAGUGUGUUAUAGUCUUUGUCGAUACUGCCAGCUUAGACUGAGGACUGCGGCUUCGGCCUAGGAUGUUGGCAUAAUGAUCUUAAGUCGCCCGUCUUGAAACCACGGCCA
rnacentral:rRNA from 1 species